UAAGCAGGUAAUGAGAUUGUGUGGCUCAACCAUACACCCAUUAUCCGAACUGCUCAGCUAGAGCAUGGAAGAGGUAGCUGGAAUUCCUAGUGUAGGAGUGAAAUCCGUAGAUAUUAGAAGGAACACCGAUGGCGUAGGCAGGCUACUGGUCCAUUGCUGACACUAAGGCACGAAAGCGUGGGAGCGAACGGGAUUAGAUACCCCGGUAGUCCACGCCGUAAACGAUGGAUGCUA
rnacentral:rRNA from 1 species